CGGGACGGGGUGGAGUAAUGUCUGGGAAACUGCCUGAUGGAGGGGGAUAACUACUGGAAACGGUAGCUAAUACCGCAUAACGUCGCAAGACCAAAGAGGGGGACCUUCGGGCCUCUUGCCAUCGGAUGUGCCCAGAUGGGAUUAGCUAGUAGGUGGGGUAACGGCUCACCUAGGCGACGAUCCCUAGCUGGUCUGAGAGGAUGGCCAGCCACACUGGAACUGAGACACGGUCCAG
rnacentral:rRNA from 1 species